rnacentral:lncRNA from 1 species
AAACUAUACAAAACUUGCACCAAAACCAUAGCCAAAAAUCUAAACCUUCUGACCUUAGCCUUCAAAGCUCGAAUGCCCCAAAAAACUAACUCUAAUCCUUAAUAUGGCCUUGGGCAACCUCUUCAAAGCCUAUUGGCCAUGAUUUUUGAUCAUUAGGAAUGGAGAUUUUCAUUAUUCAUCUCCAUUCAUCUAUAUUGAUGCCCUAAUUACUCCUUUUACUACCAAAACUCUUUUUCAAUCUUUUUUUAUAAGAUUUAUAUAAUUUAUGCUCUAAACAUCAAAUAAAAGAGCCAAAAUAAGUUUCCAAAGGUCACCAAUGUCAAACAAAUGUGAUUCUAAAUAUUUAGAAGUUACUAUCAACUAAAACCAAUCCUUAUAGAAUUGAAAGUAGAAUGUUAUCUUGCUUAGAUCUUGUU